AUGAUUGCGAAUGGUUACCUUUGGUGCUGGCUCUCGCGAGCAAGUGCACAUUGGUGGCUUUCAUCCACUACUACCCUUGUGAACCUUUGGCCUCUUGCUCGCUUCGGCUGGCAGAGGAUUUUUACAUAUACUCGCAUGUAAUGAAAACUAUUGUUGUGCGCAAGCACUAAUAUA
rnacentral:misc_RNA from 1 species